rnacentral:rRNA from 1 species
GACGAACGCUGGCGGCGUGCUUAACACAUGCAAGUCGAACGGAAAGGCCCUGCUUUUGUGGGGUGCUCGAGUGGCGAACGGGUGAGUAACACGUGAGUAACCUGCCCUUGACUUUGGGAUAACUUCAGGAAACUGUGGCUAAUACCGGAUAGGAGCUCCCGCUGCAUGGUGGGGGUUGGAAAGUUUCGGCGGUUGGGGAUGGACGCGCGGCUUAUCAGCUUGUUGGUGGGGUAGUGGAUUACCAAGGCUUUGACGGGUAGCCGGCCUGAGAGGGUGACCGGCCACAUUGGGCCUGAGAUACGGCCCAGACUCCAACGGGAGGCAGCGGUGGGGAAUAUUACACAGUGGGCGGAAGCCUGAUGCAGCGACGCCGCGUGCGGGAUGACGGCCUGCGGGUUGUAAACCGCUUUCGCCUGUGACGAAGCGUGAGUGACGGUAAUGGGUAAAGAAGCACCGGCUAACUACGUG